rnacentral:rRNA from 1 species
UGGGGAAUAUUGCACAAUGGGGGAAACCCUGAUGCAGCGACGCCGCGUGAGUGAAGAAGUAUUUCGGUAUGUAAAGCUCUAUCAGCAGGGAAGAAAAUGACGGUACCUGACUAAGAAGCCCCGGCUAACUACGUGCCAGCAGCCGCGGUAAUACGUAGGGGGCAAGCGUUAUCCGGAUUUACUGGGUGUAAAGGGAGCGUAGGUGGUCUGGCAAGUCAGAUGUGAAAACCCGGGGCUUAACUCCGGGAUUGCAUUUGAAACUGUUAGACUAGAGUGCAGGAGAGGUAAGUGGAAUUCCUAGUGUAGCGGUGAAAUGCGUAGAUAUUAGGAGGAACACCAGUGGCGAAGGCGGCUUACUGGACUGUAACUGACACUGAGGCUCGAAAGCGUGGGGAGCAAACA